UACCUCAAAAAACCACAACAGUCUGUUUCAUCCGUAUAUGAAUCAUCAGCUGGUCUGAUGAUUCCUAUAGGAUGAAACAGACUGUUGUGGUUUUU